rnacentral:lncRNA from 1 species
UCAACUCGGCCAACUUUUACACUAACCCAUAUCCCCAAACUACCCCCGCCUUGCUCCUAUAAGUCUUUCACCCUUACAUUCAAAUCCAAACUUCCUCUUGUAACCAACCCCCAAUCCAUACAAAACUCCCAGACAUAUAAUUAUGGAGAAGAAGCCAUGGAGUUUUAUGUACCUGUUUAAGAUGAUUGGUAGUGGUAGUGGCAGCGGCAGUGGCUUAUGGCGGAUGCGGUGGAAAGGGAAGUUCACGUUGCAUCUUUGGUUUAUUAAUGAUUUUCUUUUCAAAAUUGUGUCGGUUUUCGAAGCCAUAUUUCUGGUUUCAACUCUCUGUUUCUUUUUCCUAUGUUGCGGCUGCCAUUUCUGAUUAUGAUUUUAACUAUAAUCAUUCGGAUGAAGCCAUGAAUGAAUUUUCAAGGAGAGACUAUGUUCAGUAUGAUUGGGUAAUGAAUGUUUUUGGGUUGUAAUCUCUGAAAUUAUCUUUGUCAUCGAACUUUUGUUUAUGUUCAAAUGUUCAAUGAUAUAGAAAACCUAAUAUUAGCUUAUUACAGUUCUGGAGAUUAUAGUGAUUCUUCUUCUUUUGCUGUAACCCUCGUCUAAAGCACUUUUUGAAACCAGUUGAGACAGGUGAAUUUGUCCACUUACUUGAUCAAACUCGUCCUCAAGCCAAACUAGCAAACUUAACUGUAAUGACUUGAGAAGAAAUAUUAAACGGUAUGUGGCAUGUUUGGCACAGUUUAUUUAAAAUUAAUUUUAUUUGAAC